rnacentral:lncRNA from 1 species
CAACCGGCCAAGUUUUUGUUACGAGAACCGUAAACACCUCCAUAAAUGAUCAACUUUUUAGUGAGAAAGUCUGCAGUGUCUGAGGGGAGAGGAUGGAGGAAGAGAACGAUGAUUCAUUAGUAAUGAAGCCCUGCAGAGAUCAUAUAAGGCCAUCUAAUAUCUAGAGCCACCUCUGGGAAGCUGUAGAACUGUAAAGAAGCUAUGAUUCUGCUUUGUAUUCCAGAACAAUGUGAAACAGAUCAGGGCGUGACAAGAACUUCCACUGAAGGUUUUUUAACAUUGUACACUGUAAGUACAUUAAUCUAAUUGUGCGUUUUUUGUUAGAAAAUGUGUAAACUUCCGGGGAAAUGUAGUUAACCUACCCGUUAAUUGAACAGGGCCAGUGUGUAGUAGUAUUGCUUAGUCAGCUCUGACAUGGUGGAUAGACAUCCUUUCAUUUGUCCUCUUUAUUCACACCAUCACUUUCAUCUCUCCUCUCAAUCUCUCUAUUCUGUCCCUCUUUUACCAUCUCUCUCCACCCGAGUGGAAUUGUUCAUUUCCUAUACUAGAGACACCUUAAUGGUUAACCCCUCUUCCCCCGUUCUCAAUAGAUGGUAUAGCACAUCCCUCCUAAGACUACAGUUCUAGCUAUUUCAAAGAGAAACCUAAGAUGUUGUAGAUGAGUUGUACAAACUAAUGAG